rnacentral:rRNA from 1 species
UUCCGGGAGGUCAGCGGCGGACGGGUGAGUAACACGUGGGCAACCUGCCUGUAAGACUGGGAUAACUCCGGGAAACCGGAGCUAAUACCGGAUAUUAUGUCAGACCGCAUGGUCUGACAUUCAAAGACGGUUUCGGCUGUCACUUACAGAUGGGCCCGCGGCGCAUUAGCUAGUUGGUGAGGUAACGGCUCACCAAGGCAACGAUGCGUAGCCGACCUGAGAGGGUGAUCGGCCACACUGGGACUGAGACACGGCCCAGACUCCUACGGGAGGCAGCAGUAGGGAAUCUUCCGCAAUGGACGAAAGUCUGACGGAGCAACGCCGCGUGAGUGAUGAAGGUUUUCGGAUCGUAAAACUCUGUUGUCAGGGAAGAACAAGUGCCGGAGUAACUGCCGGCGCCUUGACGGUACCUGACCAGAAAGCCACGGCUAACUACGUGCCAGCAGCCGCGGUAAUACGUAGGUGGCAAGCGUUGUCCGGAAUUAUUGGGCGUAAAGCGCGCGCAGGCGGUUUCUUAAGUCUGAUGUGAAAGCCCCCGGCUCAACCGGGGAGGGUCAUUGGAAACUGGGAAACUUGAGUGCAGAAGAGGAGAGUGGAAUUCCACGUGUAACGGUGAAAUGCGUAUAGAUGUGGAGGAACACCAGUGGCAA